rnacentral:rRNA from 1 species
AUCGGGGUUGCGGACAGUGUCUGGUGGGUAGUUUGACUGGGGCGGUCUCCUCCUAAAGAGUAACGGAGGAGCACGAAGGUCAGCUAAUCCUGGUCGGACAUCAGGAGGUUAGUGCAAUGGCAUAAGCUGGCUUGACUGCGAGCGUGACGGCGCGAGCAGGUGCGAAAGCAGGUCAUAGUGAUCCGGUGGUUCUGAAUGGAAGGGCCAUCGCUCAACGGAUAAAAGGUACUCCGGGGAUAACAGGCUGAUACCGCCCAAGAGUUCAUAUCGACGGCGGUGUUUGGCACCUCGAUGUCGGCUCAUCACAUCCUGGGGCUGAAGUAGGUCCCAAGGGUAUGGCUGUUCGCCAUUUAAAGUGGUACGCGAGCUGGGUUUAGAACGUCGUGAGACAGUUCGGUCCCUAUCUGCCGUGGGCGCUGGAGAAUUGAGGGGGGCUGCUCCUAGUACGAGAGGACCGGAGUGGACGCAUCACUGGUGUUCGGGUUGUCAUGCCAAUGGCAUUGCCCGGUAGCUAAAUGCGGAAGAGAUAAGUGCUGAAAGCAUCUAAGCACGAAACUUGCCCCGAGAUGAGUUCUCCCUGACUCCUUGAGAGUCCUGAAGGAACGUUGAAGACGACGACGUUGAUAGGCCGGGUGUGUAAGCGCAGCGAUGCGUUGAGCUAACCGGUACUAAUGAACCGUGAGGCUUAACCUU